rnacentral:ncRNA from 2 species
ACAAGCAGCGCGGGAGAGAUCGUCAGGCAGCCCAUGACGACGCCGACGGAGCAACCGCCCCGGAAACUCUCAGGCAAAAGGACCGCGCCGCUGGA